AUACGUAGGGGGCGAGCGUUGUCCGGAAUGAUUGGGCGUAAAGGGCGCGUAGGCGGCCCGGUAAGUCUGGAGUGAAAGUCCUGUUUUUAAGAUGGGAAUUGCUUUGGAUACUGUCGGGCUUGAGUGCAGGAGAGGUAAGUGGAAUUCCCAGUGUAGCGGUGCAAUGCGUAGAGAUUGGGAGGAACACCAGUGGCGAAGGCGACUUACUGGACUGUAACUGACGCUGAGGCGCGAAAGUGUGGGGAGCAAACAGGAUUAGAUACCCUGGUAGUCCACACUGUAAACGAUGAAUGCUAGGUGUAGGGGGUAUCGACCCCUUCUGUGCCGCAGUCAACACAAUAAGCAUUCCGCCUGGGGAGUACGGCCGCAAGGUUGAAACUCAAAUGAAUUGGCGGGG
rnacentral:rRNA from 1 species